rnacentral:rRNA from 1 species
GACGAACGCUGGCGGCGUGCUUAACACAUGCAAGUCGAACGGAAAGGCCCUGCUUUUGUGGGGUGCUCGAGUGGCGAACGGGUGAGUAACACGUGAGUAACCUGCCCUUGACUUUGGGAUAACUUCAGGAAACUGGGGCUAAUACCGGAUAGGAGCUCCUGCUGCAUGGUGGGGGUUGGAAAGUUUCGGCGGUUGGGGAUAGACUCGCGGCUUAUCAGCUUGUUGGUGGGGUAGUGGCUUACCAAGGCUUUGACGGGUAGCCGGCCUAAGAGGGUGACCGGCCACAUUGGGACUGAGAUACGGCCCAGACUCCUACGGGAGGCAGCAGUGGGGAAUAUUGCACAAUGGGCGGAAGCCUGAUGCAGCAACGCCGCGUGCGGGAUGACGGCCUUCGGGUUGUAAACCGCUUUCGCCUGUGACGAAGCGUGAGUGACGGUAAUGGGUAAAGAAGCACCGGCUAACUACGUG